UCACAUUUCCACUGCACACGAGUCACACCAUGUCACUCCUCCUUGUGGUGGUGUUACUACUUUCCUUCCAUGUGACUUACAAUAAUGGAAGUGGGGAUAACAAAAGGGUGCAAGAGCUGCUGAGCACCCUGCACACCCACUACCGCUGUGAUACACCGAAGGAAGGAAUCGUGUACUUGGAAGACUUGUCAAGCUAUACUUAUGACCCCGGAGUUGAGUGGGUCCCACGUGGCGUCGUUUUAAAAACGUGCAGCGAUUGGAGCGGAUAUUGUCCAUCAGCACUACAAACUUGUUCCUCUAUUCAAAUUCAGAAAUUCAACUCGUCCUUCCUAAAAAUCGACAGAAUCCGUAAUAAAAUCACCUACGUCCAAAUCCAAUUAACCAAUGCUACACAAUGUGGUUGUUUGAAUAAAUAGUCAGUUUAUAUAUAAAAGUUAUAAAUAAAUAGUGUUUGUUAAAAUGUGUAGACACAAAUAAUUCUACCAGUUUAUGAUUCAGAAAUCGCAAUUAAUGCCAAGUACAUACGUAUUUCUAGCUUUAUCUCGGCAGAGUGGGAUAAAAUGCCUUCCAAAGUAAUUGAAUAGCAAAGUCAAGUUGGAAAUAUAAAUAAUGUUCAGAAAUUAUAUUUCAACUUUUAUUAUUCUGCACAGGCUAGAUAUUUUUUAUCUUCACGAAAAGUAACGCAAGCCAACAAAGCCAUCCAAAUUCAAGCAGAUCAUCGCCGUUGAAGACGCUAUAGCAAGCAAUUCAUUAUCAUAUAAAUGAUGAGAUACAAAUAACACAAUGCGACAAUAAGUUAUGUUGACUUGGAUUAGUCAGUAUAAAUAGCGUCUGUGUUAUGUAUACAUAAUUUAUGUUGCACUUUGUACUCAAUGCCUUACAUUUUUACUGUAUACCAUAUCGCCAAGAAAACCUGACAAAAACUCGACGCAAAGAAGUACUUAUUAGGAUAGCUUGUCAAGGAAUUUACGAUUACAAAGAUAAAAUUUCUUUCAAUUUUGUGUCUCCGACUUUGAUUCAUCAUCGUCCCAAUUUCAGGAUAAUAUUAAUAUAUUUACACUCUUGAUGUACAGAGCUUGUUCAGAAUAAUUUUUUUUGUCGUAAUUUCAUAAUUAGGGAUUCCGACAGGGUGAGCGACACUUGUUUUCGAAAUUAAGACGAAAUGAAAUGACGGAGUCGACGAGUGUGCCGUAAAUCUUUACCACAAAUAUAUAUAUUAAUUUUUACAUGGCUUCACCUACGAAAAAUAAAGGAAAACAAUACUCUGGAAUUAUUCCGGCGUGUCGUCAUUUGCA